AACGAACGCUGGCGGCAUGCCUAACACAUGCAAGUCGAACGAGACCUUCGGGUCUAGUGGCGCACGGGUGCGUAACGCGUGGGAACCUGCCCUUAGGUUCGGAAUAACUCCCCGAAAGGGGUGCUAAUACCGGCUAAUGUCUUCGGACCAAAGAUUUAUCGCCUUUGGAUGGGCCCGCGUUGGAUUAGCUAGUUGGUAGGGUAAAAGCCUACCAAGGCGACGAUCCAUAGCUGGUCUGAGAGGAUGCUCAGCCACACUGGGACUGAGACACGGCCCAGACUCCUGCGGGAGGCAGCAGUGGGGAAUAUUGGACAAUGUGCGAAAGCCUGAUCCAGCAAUGCCGCGUGAGUGAUGAAGGCCUUAGGGUUGUAAAGCUCUUUUACCCGGGAUGAUAAUGACAGUACCGGGAGAAUAAGCUCCGGCUAACUCCGUG
rnacentral:rRNA from 1 species